rnacentral:rRNA from 1 species
GUUUGAUCCUGGCUCAGAGUGAACGCUGGCGGUAGGCCUAACACAUGCAAGUCGAACGGCAGCACAGAGGAGCUUGCUCCUUGGGUGGCGAGUGGCGGACGGGUGAGGAAUACAUCGGAAUCUACUCUGUCGUGGGGGAUAACGUAGGGAAACUUACGCUAAUACCGCAUACGACCUACGGGUGAAAGCAGGGGAUCUUCGGACCUUGCGCGAUUGAAUGAGCCGAUGUCGGAUUAGCUAGUUGGCGGGGUAAAGGCCCACCAAGGCGACGAUCCGUAGCUGGUCUGAGAGGAUGAUCGGCCACACUGGAACUGAGACACGGUCCAGACUCCUACGGGAGGCAGCAGUGGGGAAUAUUGGACAAUGGGCGCAAGCCUGAUCCAGCCAUACCGCGUGGGUGAAGAAGGCCUUCGGGUUGUAAAGCCCUUUUGUUGGGAAAGAAAUCCAGCCGGCUAAUACCUGGUUGGGAUGACGGUACCCAAAGAAUAAGCACCGGCUAACUUCGUGCCAGCAGCCGCGGUAAUACGAAGGGUGCAAGCGUUACUCGGAAUUACUGGGCGUAAAGCGUGCGUAGGUGGUUAUUUAAGUCCGUUGUGAAAGCCCUGGGCUCAACCUGGGAACUGCAGUGGAUACUGGAUGACUAGAAUGUGGUAGAGGGUAGCGGAAUUCCUGGUGUAGCAGUGAAAUGCGUAGAGAUCAGGAGGAACAUCCAUGGCGAAGGCAGCUACCUGGACCAACAUUGACACUGAGGCACGAAAGCGUGGGGAGCAAACAGGAUUAGAUACCCUGGUAGUCCA